rnacentral:tRNA from 1 species
AUUUAUAUAGUUUAAUUAAAACAUUACAUUUUCAUUGUAAAAAUAAGAAUUUCUUUAUAAAUA